rnacentral:rRNA from 1 species
AUUGAACGCUGGCGGCGCGCUUAACACAUGCAAGUCGAGCGAGAACCAGGCCUUCGGGCCUGGGGACAGCGGCGAACGGGUGAGUAACACGUGAGUAAUCCACCCUCGGUACCGGAAUAGCCCGGGGAAACCCGGAUUAAUGCCGGAUAGCCCAUUCGCCCUUCGGGGAUGAAUGGAAAAGAUAGCUUCGGCCUUCGACCGAGGACGAGCCCGCGGGGGAUUAGCUUGUUGGCGGGGUAACGGCCCACCAAGGCGACGAUCCGUAGCUGGUCUGACAGGACGAUCAGCCCAACUGGGACUGAGACACGGCCCAGACUCCUACGAGAGGCAGCAGUGGGGAAUUUUGGACAAUGGGCGCAAGCCUGAUUCAGCAAUGCCGCGUGCAGGAAGAAGGCCUUCGGGUUGUAAACUGCUUUUGUCAGGGAAGAAAUCCCUUGGGAUAAUACCCCGGGGGGAUGACGGUACCUGAAGAAUAAGCACCGGCUAACUACGUGCCAGCAGCCGCCGUAAUAC